rnacentral:rRNA from 1 species
UUUAAAUUGCUGUGGUAUUUUGACUAUACGAAGGUAUUGAAAUAAGGCUUUAAUUGGGUGCUAAGAGAAUGGUUUAACAAAAAAUAGCUUUCUUUUUUUUUAUAAUAGAAUUUAAUGUAAAAAUGAAAAAGUUUUUAUAAUUUUUUGGGACAAGAAGACCCUAUGAAUUUUUCUUAAAUUAUAUUUAUAAUUUUUAAUUUAAAUUAAAUUAAGUAAAAAAUUUAAGUUGGUUGGGGUGAUUUUUAAAGAAUGGGUAUCUUUAAAUUAUUAGGAAAUUGAUCCAGAAUUUUUGAUUAAUUGAAAUAAAUACUCUAGGGAUAACAGCGUAAUUAUUUUGGAUAGUUCAUAUAGGUAAAAUAGUUUGCGACCUCGAUGUUGGAUUAAGAU